rnacentral:rRNA from 1 species
GUCCACGCCGUAAACGAUGUCGACUAGCCGUUGGGAGCCUUGAGCUCUUAGUGGCGCAGCUAACGCAUUAAGUCGACCGCCUGGGGAGUACGGCCGCAAGGUUAAAACUCAAAUGAAUUGACGGGGGCCCCGCACAAGCGGUGGAGCAUGUGGUUUAAUUCGAAGCAACGCGAAGAACCUUACCAGGCCUUGACAUGCAGAGAACUUUCCAGAGAUGGAUUGGUGCCUUCGGGAACUCUGACACAGGUGCUGCAUGGCUGUCGU